GGGGAUCUUCCUGACCCAGGGAUUAAACUCGUGUCUCCUGUGUCUCCUGCAUUGACAGGUGGAUUCUUCACCAUUGAGCCACCUGGAAAGCCCAACUCAGGAAAAGAGACGUGAUAAAAGAUUGCAGCUUCUGAAGCCAGACAGCUUGAUCCUACGCUCCAAGAGGGCAGGCAUUCUGCCCUGCUUGCUGCUGUGUCUCCAGUGCCUGCAAC
rnacentral:lncRNA from 1 species